UUUUUAAAGAUUUUAUUUAUUUAUUUGAGACAGAGAGAAUGAGAGACAGAGAGCAUGAGAGGGAGGAGGGUCAGAGGGAGAAGCAGACCCCCUGCCGAGCAGGGAGCCCGAUGCGGGACUCGAUCCAGGGACUCCAGGAUCAUGACCCGAGCCGAAGGCAGUCGCUUAACCAACUGAGCCACCCAGGCGCCCUUCCUAAAACUUUUUAAAAAUUAUUUUAAAAACUACUUUUGCUUGGGCAGAAUAUAUGGGUUGGUUUUAAAUGCCAGUUAAUCUCCCCAAACUUCAAUGGUCCCUGAGGAAGUUCUUGCUGGGGCACACACACGUGCAACUGAGGCAGUAGAAUGAGUCUGUCUUCAUCCCUUUCUCUGGAGAGUUCUCCGGAACUGGUAGUUUUGGAAAGAGACUCCCCUCAUUCAGUUAUUCAGCAGAUACUUAUUGAGAAGUUACUAUAAGCCAGUCACUCUGCUAGGUGGGGAAGAAAGAAGAUGACCAAGAAAUACACAGUCCUCCAGGAACUCACUGUUUGGCCGAUGAGCCCAAUGUGGAUUGGAUCUGUAAUCACAACAUGGUACAAUAAGGUCCAUGCCUGAAUGCCUAGUCUGUGGGAACACGGAAGAGAAACAAUUCAUCCUGCCUUGAUUCAGAGGUGGGAGGCCUGGGGCAUACUUGCAUGAGGCUCCCUCACUUGGACACAUCUCUAUGCCAUUUUCCUCACAUGUAAUACAAGGUAUGAUAACCAUACCCACCUAUGGUUACAGUGAGGAUACAGAAAGCUUAUAACAGUGUCAGGCACAGAAAAAUAUUUCACCAAAUCAUUGAGCUGAAUUAUUUUAGCUAUGAGGGUUUUUCUUAUACUCUUCACCCUGCCAGGGCCCUAAGAAGUAUGAAGGUCAGAAUCACCUUUUCCUGUUGUGAUUUGCAGUAUGGAAAUAGAAAGUGCAUGGUCCUUCAGUACUUUUACCAGGACUCUGAAAAUAAGGAAUAUGAACUGCUUCUAGGAGAUGAAUUGAUUUAAUCAGGACUUUGCUGAUACCACAGUCUUUGGCAUGACUUCUUGGCUCAUUGCUGAUCCCAGGAAAAGACUGAGUGCCGACAAAUGAAGUAUUCAGUAUUCGUGGAAAGAGGGAAUCAACAAAUGCUGGGUCGCAAUGUUCCUACACCCACAUCCUUGCUGCGGAGCAGUUCCCGCAGGCAGCCACAACCCCUGAAGGAGAGCAUCCCAGGCUCCGGUGAGGGGUCCUGCUGCAGUCCUCAGCACAGAAAGAACUCUCCAGAACAGCCUUCCUUCUGUCUCUAGGGAGUAGACUCCAAAACUGUUUCCAAAGUGAAAUGUCAUUAAUAUACUCUACCCUCUGAGGAAUAAUCCUCCUGCCUUUCAUAGCUGACUGUGACUGCAUCCGGCCUCCCAAACAGCUUACCUGAUUAAAUCACCCACAGGAUUGGGAAGUGACCUAUCAUCUGAAUUUGUUAAUUCCAGCAAAGAUUAUGUGAAGUUGACAUUGAUGAUUAUCAUUUUAACCAGUCGCUGCAUCGUCAACAUCUGAUACUCAUACCACAUGAGGUGACAAAGUCAAUCCGUUGGCCCGUCUGCCCCAAAGCCACAGAGAUCUUGUCUUCCAGUGAUGAUUUAAUGAAGCCCAAGUCAUCUUGCAAAGAGGAAGUGGAAAAGGAUUCAAACAGCACUUUUUUGGCAGCAACAAUGGUUCUGUGGCUGUUCUCUUUUAACAUCAUGGCUGAUGAAUAUGUCAGAGCUCUUUAGAGACAGUGUCCUCUCUUACGUGUGUUCUGCAGUGCUCAAAAAAAGGGAAACUUGUCUUUCGUGGCUUCCAAGAAAAAGUGUUUUUCUCCUCUUCUUUUUGUUUGUUGCACGUCUAAAUCCCAGAAUCAUCUAGGAAGAGGAAGGGGGGUAAGACUUUCAAAAGAAUUGAAUCUCUCAUUACUAAAGUAAUAGUCCACCCUGCAUUCACAGACGCUGGCAUGUGCAGAAAAGAAGGUACUGUUUGUCUUACUGCAUCAUAAUUUGGAUGUUUGAUUUAACUAGAGAAGCUUUGUAUUGUAGCCAAUAUGUACUAAAUAAAGUUACCCCUGAGACUAAUCCUCAGAAAUUGGAUAAAUGGAACUGUGCGCUCUGGUAAAAUGGCUCCCUAGGAGACCAUCCCGGGAAGAUAAGAGUACACUUCACCGUAUACCGAAGAAGUGGUAUAGUACGCAAGCGCGCGCGCGCGCACACACACACACACACACACACACACACACUCACCUAAAUUUGCAUAUAGAGGUUUGACUCCUUUCAGAACUUUCUUAGAUUCAUCAUGAAUAUGUUUAUUUAUGCCUCUCCCUUCUGAUAACUCCCCAUUUUUCUUCUUAAUCCAUCUUUUUUUUUUUUUUUUUUUAAUUAUUUGACAGAGAGAGAAUGAGAGAGAGAGCACAUGAGAGGGGGGAGGGUCAGAGGGAGAA